AAUUGGAGGGCAAGUCUGGUGCCAGCAGCCGCGGUAAUUCCAGCUCCAAUAGCGUAUAUUAAAGUUGUUGCAGUUAAAAAGCUCGUAGUUGAAUUUCGGGGUUAGUAGGUUGGUCAUGCCUCUGGUAUGUACUGAUCUUACUGAUUCCUCCUUCCUUAUGAACCGUAAUGCCAUUAAUUUGGUGUUGCGGGGAAUUUGGACUGUUACUUUGAAAAAAUUAGAGUGUUUAAAGCAGGCUAACGCUUGAAUACAUUAGCAUGGAAUAAUGAAAUAGGACGUUCGAUCUUAUUUUGUUGGUUUCUAGGAUUGACGUAAUGAUUAAUAGGGAUAGUUGGGGGCAUUAGUAUUCAAUUGUCAGAGGUGAAAUUCUUGGAUUUAUUGAAGACUAACUACUGCGAAAGCAUUUGCCAAGGAUGUUUUCAUUAAUCAAGAACGAAAGUUAGGGGAUCGAAGACGAUCAGAUACCGUCGUAGUCUUAACCAUAAACUAUGCCGACUAGGGAUCGGAUGAUGUUAAUUUUUUAAUGACUCAUUCGGCGCCUUACGGGAAACCAAAGUGU
rnacentral:rRNA from 1 species